AAUUCUUUUGUAGCAAUCAUUUGUAUACUGCACAACUGUACUCCUGCAAUUUGAGAAGUUUUCUAUAGUAAUUUGCCCAAUCGUUCUUGCCCAAUAUUUUUUAUAGUAGUUGCAGGAUUUUCAUGAAGUAUACAUUCCUUCCCAUUCACACUAUAUUUCAUUUGCAACUUUUGGAAAUUUCAGAGAAUAUCUCCUAAUGUUGUAAGCUAC
rnacentral:lncRNA from 1 species